rnacentral:lncRNA from 1 species
GUCAGACAACCCAGAGAGAGCGAGUGCCGUGAGGGCUACGGACGUCGAGGCCCACCCAUAAAUUGUUGGCGUCCGUGCCCCCUCUUCACUAGGGUUCCUCCUGUCCCCAUCCGCCGCCGCCACUCCUUCCUCCAUCCCCAUCCAUCUCUCUUUCCCCCCUCACGUGAUUUCUCUGUAGCUAGGUUGAAGAGAGAGUGAGGUAGUGGCCGCCGGCGUCUACCCCUGCUCCCGUCGUCGUCCGGUGCCGCCACCAUGUCUAGGGGCUCGGGGGAGCACCCCGCGCUCCAUUCCCGUCCUCGGUGAGGCCGGGAAGCAACCUCACCGACGAGCUGCACCUCGUCAUCGACGUGCACCCGGUGUUCUUCGUCCUCUACUUCGGCUGCAAUAGGGUCCUCUUCAGCGCCUCUUCUUCCCCUUCGGAUCGUCCCGUUCCGGCCUCUUCCUCCUCCGAUCGGCGCCUCUCCUUCCUUCCCUAGGUGAGCCCUAGCUCUUCUCCCUUGCCCUCGCUAGAUCCGGUCGAAGUUCAUCGUGCAGUGUGUUUUGUUGUUGUGUAUGGGCUUGCGUGGCUCAGAGCAUACCUCGUAGUAGCUGCGGUAGUAGCUGUGGUCGCUCCCCUCUUUGGCACAGCAGUAGCGAGGCCUUGCACCGGCGAGCCUCUGCCAUCGACGCGAUGCAGUAGUAGAGCAGGGCGUUGUGCUAGUUUACCUUGUUUUAAACCUCUGUUCUGUCAAGAUCUCGAUGAGUGUCCCGGUGGUUUGCAGCGCGUGCGUUUUGAAUGUGCUAGUCGCAGGUGCUGGGUUCGAGUCACCCCCUUUUGCAUUUUAUAUUUCGGCACAGUAGCGUUUGCAGCAGCAGAGCAGUUUAGCCUGCUUAGGUGCCCUUCUCUGUCGAACCAGAGCACCUCUAGCAGAGUGGUAGUGUUGAAGUGUUGUGUAGCAUGAGGUGCAGGGUUCGAUCCCUCUCCCCCUCGUUUUAUUUUUGCUGUGUAUUUAUUUUUCUUGUGCUGUUUUCACUUUGCUUAUUUUUGCUGUGUAUUUAUUUUUCUUGUGCUGUUUUCACUUUGCCUAGAUAUGUUCCUUGCUGUGGUGUGAUAAGCAGCAAGGUUGGUAUUUUUAUUUGCCUGCCACAAGUGGGUAUUCUCCUAUGCUUGAGGUGGUGAUAGGGAUAUCAUGUGUAGGUGAUGUCUUGGUCAUGUGGAGGUGUGGGCUUUGGAGCUUAUGUACAUGUGCUGAUCUAGUUUACAUGUGUGUGUUUGCACUAGUAGUGCAUGUAUAGGAUGUGGGUGUAUGUAUAUAAAUGUUCGCUCGAUUAUAUGUGUGUGUGGGUUCCCCCCCGCCACAUACCUUGUGAGUGUGCUUUUGUAGUUGUUCAUGUUAGGAUGUGUGUGUAUGAUGUUGUGUGAGUGGUGUGUGUGUCCCACACAUGCUCAAGUCAUGUGGUUCCUUGAUGAGCUCAUGUGCAUGGGAGUGUAGGUAGUGUGUGUGGUCUAACAAGCAUGAGUAGGAAUGCAUGUUUGUAGUGUAUGUUGUGGUGAUGUUGUGCUUGAUACAUGUGAGUGUGUGGUGGUCUGCCAAGGCACAUGGGCAUGAGGUCUACCCCUCAUGUGCCCCAUUGAUGUUGUGGACAUGUGCAAGAGCUUGUGUAGUUGUUGAUCUAGUGAUUUGCACAUGUGAUGAUGCACUAUUCACUAUAGAUGAUUCUAUGUAGGGUUUCUUCUCUAGUUUGUGACCAUUUGUUCUAUACAAGUGCAUAGGUAUUAUAUAUGCUUUUGGGGUAGAAUCAUCCCAGGAAUCCAUUGGUGAAGUCAGUUUUGCCUUUGUAACACUUUCUGGAGAUGAAUUAUUUCAGAUUUGUUCUAUGUUUGGAGCUUGGUCUCAUGAGUUGUGGUGAGCCCAAGAGGUUGAUUCCUUGUUGUGCCAUUAGAGGGUGGCCCCCUCUACCACUUGUUGCUUUUGUUUCAUGCUUAGGGAUUCAUAUGUGCAAGAGGUGCUUAGUCAAAGUAGGCAUGUGGCUGAAAUUCCAGAUUAGUGAAAAUCUGUGAUUUUCACGAAGCCUGAGAAUUUGCUUAUAUUUUCUUCUCAUGUUGUUGAGUUUGUGGAGGUCCAUGUGUUCUGAUUCAGCCUUAGCUAUCAACUGGGAAGUUUUAGCUUUUGUGUUUGGCUAGCUCUCUGUAAAUUUUCAUUCCAUUUGGAGUCUUGUAGAUAUUGUUUUGGGUGCUGUCAAAAUGCUUCAGAUCAUAAACAGCUAGUGAGAAUUUGGAAUUUUCACUAAGUCUCUGAAAACUGAUAUUUUGGCCAAGUUAGCAGCUGUGUAACUUUCUGUGUGUAACUCGUUUUCAUUAUAUUUUUGCUUGUCCUUGUAGUACUCUUGGAUAUCUUUUGCCACAUAUAUGAUUUGGCAUAUUUGGGUGGUUGUAGGUGCUUUGCAUGUAGCUCUCAAAGUGCUAUGAUGCUGUUUAUGGCAGAUUGUGUAGUUUUGGUGUUUUGUUGAUUGUGAGUGCAUAGAUGAUGGUGUGGUGUUAUUCUUUGCACCACCCCAUCCAUGUUGGUUUGUUUUAUGUCUUGGAAACCUGGAAACACCAGAGUUAUGCCAUUGGGGUGUGUUGUGAUGUAUUUGACACGUAGCACUUCAUUUCUUGUUUUAUUGUUUCCCGUUGAUCCGUAGCUCCGUUGGUAAUGUUAUUUAUAUGCUUUUGCAUCGUUUUCACGUGACGCAUAUGAUCAUGUCAUUCUCAUGCAUGUCAAGAUAGCUUAGAGUGCAUUUCUUCCCAGGAACUUGUAUUGUCUUCUCAUGCUUGUGCUAGUGAGUAGAAUAGAGAUGCAUGCCCAUAUUCAUCUCAUGCAUCAUGUGCUUGUUGCAUCUUGAGGUGCUGUUGUUCAUUGGAUGUUAUUUUUUAUGUUGGGUAGCACCGGGAUCGGAGAAUGAGUACGUGGAUUCGAGAGUGUACGUGUAGGACGAACAAGAGCAGUUCCAAGCUGAGGAUAUCACAGGUAAGAUGAUAUGACCUUGAUUCCAUCUCUAGACUUGUUAUGCUAGAUUACGUUUCUUCGUCAUAUGCUCGCUGCCUACCACUAAAAUAAUUGCCUCCUGAAUUGCCAUGAAACCCAAACACUUAUCCCUUCCUAGCAAAUCUUGAAUGGCUAAGUAGGCUUUGCUCAGCUACUAAUGUUAGUGUUGCUAGUUGCAGGUGCAAUUGUCUCAUGUGAUAACAUGAGUUUGAUAUCAUUAUGCUAAAUCUGUUAUUUAAUUAAUGCACCUAUAUACUUGGUAAAUAAUGGAAGGCCUAGCCUUUUGCCGGGUGUUUUGUUCCGUUAUUGCCGCCAUAGUUACCGGAUACCGGUGUUUGAUUCCAUAAUGUUCGCUCCUAACACGUUCGGGGUUGUUACGGGGACCCCUCGAUAAAUCGCGUAGUGCUAACACUUGUCCGGCAGGACCCAACUUUGGUGUUAAUUUGCUAAUCACUUAAUAAUAAUCUGCAUAGGGAAUAGCUACCCCGAGGAAUUUAAUCAACAACCGGGGCCAGUGCUCCUCAUGAGUGUUGGUCCAACCCAGAGCAGCUUAUUACGCUCCCCGGGGCAACUCGAUGUUUUGGCGUGGUAACAGUCCCUCAUCCGACGUGUCCUGAGAACUGAGUUACGCGGCUCUUAUCAGGGUCGUCGACAGUCGGGAGGUCCUGCUAGUCUUGUCCUACCUUAGCGAUAUAUCUUGCGUAUAGGAAUCCCGGUGAAACUUUGAUUCGCCCCAGAGUUGAAAUUUCCUCUAAGGAAUCCGACGAGAUCACGAGAUUCGCGAUAGAGGAUUACUUUGCGGCCCGUGUACGUUUGUGAUGGACUAGUUGGAGCACCCCUGCAGGAUUUAAUCUUUCGGAAAGCCGUGCCCGCGGUUAUGUGGCAACUUGGAAUAUUUGUUAACAUCCGGUUAUAGAUAACUUUAACAUAACCCUAAUAAAAUUGCUAACUAUGUGCGUAACUGUGACUGUCCCCUUCGAAGACCUCUCUUCGAUCGGGAACACGGUGGGGUUAUGAUUGAUGUAAGUAGGUGUUCAGGAUCACUUAGUGAUCAGUUUAUCAUCGAUCGCUAGUAUAGACCACCUUCAAUUUAUGUUCUUCGUAAGUUAGCCACCACAUAAAGCUUAGGAUGCUGCAACCUAAAUACUCCACCUUCCGACCUAAUAACUUGACUAGUUCUGGCACCGAGGUCAUAGAUUGCUGAGUCCCCGUGGCUCACAGAUUCCUUCACAACACCAACAGGUUCAGGUACCCUCGAGACAGGUGAUCCCGACGGCACGCAACUGGUGUGGCAGUACGAUGAGGAGAACGACCGCCUGUACGUGAACUAUCCAGAAGACUAAGGCGUGGUCGUGAUCAUGGGCAAGCAUGCAGGGUAGCUAGUCAUUUCUCAUGUUUUGUAGUCCGUAGUGGAACUACCUUGUUUGGAUGCGUGAUGUAACUCUGAUAUAUUUAUGAGAUGGCAGUUGAAUCCCUUAUUGUCAUUCUUCUAUUAUUAUGUAUGUGCUAUGUUACCGUGCUUGCGAAACGCUUAGAUGCGCUUCUUUCCAAUUCGGGGCCUCGUUCCCCAAAUCAGAAAGGACUGCAUCUUAGUCGUUACAAGUUGGUAAUCAGAGCCUUACGACCACGGGAGAAUUUGUGUGAUCAUACUUGGCCGAGUCGAG